UAUUUUGGAAGAGAUGCAUUUAUUAGAUAAAAAACCAAUACAUACUUUUUCAAGUAUGAAAUUUGGUGAUUUACAAUAACUUAGCAAAUCGCAUAGUGAAAACAGGCGAUAAAUCAUUCAAGUUUCUGACCUAUCAACUUUCGACGGUAUGGUAUUGGCUUACCGUGGCAGUGACGGUUAACGGGGGAUUAGGGUUCGAUUCCGUAGAGGGAGCCUGAGAAACGGCUACCACAUCUAAGGAAGGCAGCAGGCGCGCAAAUUACCCAAUUCUAACAGCAUAAGAGAGGUAGUGACAAGAAAUAACAAUACAAGGCAGUUAAAAUGCUUUGUAAUUGGAAUGAUAGAAAUUUAAACACUUUUUAAAGUAUCAAUUGGAGGGCAAGUCUGGUGCCAGCAGCCGCGGUAAUUCCAGCUCCAAUAGCGUAUAUUAAAAUUGUUGCAGUUAAAAAGCUCGUAGUUGAAUUUCUGUUAAAAAUAACCGGUCUGCUUUUAAUAAAAGUGGUAUCUUGGUGUGUUUUUAGCAAUAAUGUCCUUUGAAAUGUUUUUUACUUUAUCGUAAUAAAUAAUAUUCAGGAUUUUUACUUUGAGAAAAUUAGAGUGUUUCUAGCAGGCUAACGCUUUGAAUACUGCAGCAUGGAAUAAUAAAAUAGGAUUUUAGUUCUACAUUAUUGGUUUUAAGAACUAAAUUAAUGAUUGAUAGGGACAGUUGGGGGCAUUUGUAUUUAACUGUCAGAGGUGAAAUUCUUAGAUUUGUUAAAGACAAACUACUGCGAAAGCAUUUGCCAAAGAUGUUUUCAUUAAUCAAGAAC
rnacentral:rRNA from 1 species